rnacentral:rRNA from 1 species
AAAGGUAGCAUAAUUAUUAGUUUUUUAAUUGGUGACUUGUAUGAAGGAUUGGAUGAGAUAUAAACUGUUUUAAAAGUAAAUUGGUUGAAUUUAAUUUUUUAAUUAAAAAGUUAAAAUAAUAUAAAAAGACGAGAAGACCCUAUAGAGUUUUAUAUUACGAUAAAUUUAAUUUAUUUAUAAAUUUAUUGAAUGUAAAUUUAUUGUAAUAUUUUGUUGGGGUGAUAGAAAAAUAUAAUAAACUUUUUUUUUGAGUUUCCAUAAAUAAGUGAAUAUUUGAUCCAAUUUUAUUGAUUAUAAGAAAAAAUUACCUUAGGUAUAACAGCGUAAUUUUUUUUUUUAGUU